CAAUAGCGUAUAUUAAAGUUGUUGCAGUUAAAAAGCUCGUAGUUGGAUUUCGGGAUGGGCCAGUCGGUCUGCCGUAAGGUAUGUUACUGGCUGGUCUGUCCUUCUUCGCAAAGACUGCGUGUGCCCUUAAUUGUGUGUGCGUAGGAUUUGCGACGUUACUUUGAAAAAUUAGAGUGUUCAAAGCAGGCUGACCGCUUGAAUACACGAGCAUGGAAUAAUGGAAUAGGACUUUGGUUCUAUUUUGUUGGUUUCUUGAACCGAAGUAAUGAUUAAGAGGGACAGUUGGGGCCGUUUAUAUUUCGUUGUCAGAGGUGAAAUUCUUGGAUUUACGAAAGAUAAACUUCUGCGAAAGCAUUCGGCAAGGAUGUUUUCAUUGAUCAAGAACGAAAGUUAGGGGAUCGAAGACGAUUAGAUACCA
rnacentral:rRNA from 1 species